CCUACGGGAGGCAGCAGUGAGGAAUAGUGGUCAAUGGGCGCGAGCCUGAACCAGCCAAGUAGCGUGAAGGAUGACUGCCCUACGGGUUGUAAACUUCUUUUAUAAAGGAAUAAAGUGAGGCACGUGUGCCGUUUGGUAUGUAGUUUAUGAAUAAGGAUCGGCUAACGCCGUGCCAGCAGCCGCGGUAAUACGGAGGAUCCGAGCGUUAUCCGGAUUUGUUGGGUUUAAAGGGAGCGUAGAUGGGUUGUUAAGUCAGUGGUGAAAUUUUGCGGCUCCACCGUAAAAUUGCAUUUGAUACUGGCAGCCUUGAGUACCGUUGAGGUAGGCGGAAUUCGUGGUGUAGCGG
rnacentral:rRNA from 1 species